rnacentral:rRNA from 1 species
CUACGUAGGGGGCGAGCGUUGUCCGGAAUGAUUGGGCGUAAAGGGCGCGUAGGCGGCCCGGUAAGUCUGGAGUGAAAGUCCUGUUUUUAAGAUGGGAAUUGCUUUGGAUACUGUCGGGCUUGAGUGCAGGAGAGGUAAGUGGAAUUCCCAGUGUAGCGGUUAAAUGCGUAGAGAUUGGGAGGAACACCAGUGGCGAAGGCGACUUACUGGACUGUAACUGACGCUGAGGCGCGAAAGUGUGGGGAGCAAACAGGAUUAGAUACCCUGGUAGUCCACACUGUAAACGAUGAAUGCUAGGUGUAGGGGGUAUCGACCCCUUCUGUGCCGCAGUCAACACAAUAAGCAUUCCGCCUGGGGAGUACGGCCGCAAGGUUGAAACUCAAAUGAAUUGACGGGG